rnacentral:rRNA from 1 species
CGCGAACGUUGGCGGCGUGCCUAACACAUGCAAGUCGUGGGGCAGCAGGCUACUACCUUCGGGUAGUAGUGCUGGCGACCGGCAAACGGGUGAGUAACACGUAGCUUACCUACCCAUAGGUUGGGGAUAACAUCCCGAAAGGGGUGCUAAUACCCAAUAAUGAGGAGACUCCAAAGCCCUUAUGGGCGCCUAUGGAUGGGGCUGCGUCCCAUCAGCUAGUUGGUGAGGUAAUGGCUCACCAAGGCUACGACGGGUAACCGGUCCGAGAGGAUGACCGGUCACAGUGGGACUGAGACACGGCCCGCACCCCUACGGGGGGCAGCAGUGGGGAAUAUUGGGCAAUGGCCGAAAGGCUGACCCAGCAACGCCGCGUGGUGGAUGAAGCCCUUCGGGGUGUAAACACCUUUUCUGGGGGAAGAUAAUGACGGUACCCCAGGAAUAAGGGACGGCUAACUACGUGCCAGCAGCCGCGGUAAUACGUAG